CCCCCAAUACACAUACCUUUUUAUAUAUUUUAUUUCCUGCUCUUUUGUUCCCAUCUUGAAUACAACCAACUUUAUCAUUCACUGGUUAUAAAACGUGAUGUGUAGUGUCUCUUCAUAUAAUUGUGUAAUUGGCGUAUAAUUAUAUAAUUUUGUGUGCCAGAUUUUUAACAUCCAGCCAGGCACUGUGCCCAUUAGGUAAAUACUGUAAUCACAGAUGGAUUUCAUACAUUUUUCUAGUAAAUUCUCAUGUUUACCUGGGCCUAGGUUUUCUCGAACCUGGAUCACUCUCAAAGCUGAAUGGGCCGGUUCUGCCAGCUCAUGCUUUAGUUGCUGCCUCUAAGCAGCCAUUGCUAUGGAGACCGCAGACCAAGUGCUUUUCAUUGCCAUGGAAACGGAGGAGCAGGGACUGGACAUGGAGAGCUUUAGAUCUGACAGACCUCUAACUUUUCUGGGGCCUUGUCUGAGCUCAGACCGAUCUGGCUCUUCACCGGUCCUCUGAAAUGGGACAUUGUGCGGUUCGGAGAAUUAUUGGGGGAGGGGGGGGAUGAGAAGCUGCUUAGCCCAGAGUAUUCGAUAAGCAGGCCAUUAGACAAUGCAGUUAAUGUCGUGACUGGCUUGGGCGUGGAGUGGGAUGGUUUUAAGGAAUGAUUUUAAUGAUGGUAAUACUAAUACAUCAUUGAUCCCCAUGGAGAAAUUCUCUGUUUGCCUCCCCCAUCUUGCUCUCCAUGUAGAUGAGAGCAAGCUUGGCAGUGAAGGGCAGCCACCUGCAGUGGCACCCAUGGAGCUGGGGGUUAAGGGCCUUGCUCGAGGGCCCACUGACAUGUGGCUAUUUUGGGGAAGCUGGGCUCAAACUGGCGACCUUCCAGUCAUAAGUACAUGGGCUUAACCCACUGAGCCACGCGCUACCCCCAUGCAUUCUGUUCCGCUGUGCGUUGUUGUUAAAAACCUCUCUGCACAGAUGACAUUUUACGUAUUUAUACAUGUGAUGUAGUGUGAAAGUGCUCCGUUGUGCCCCAUGCCGCGUCUCAAGACCUUCCAGACCUGUGCUGUGAUGCGGAUGCAGAUUUUACACAGAUGUGCGCGUCUGCGAUUCCAGUCUCCCAUGACUUCCUAUGUCAGGGUCUUGCCUCCAAACGUUUCCCCGCAUUUCACAGUCAUAAGCAAGAGAUACUGGUACGAUCGGGUCACACCGAUGUUGUCGGCACGGGUUGGCAAUCGGAUCAGUACUUCGAGGGGGGCAGGCUUCCACUGCACCCUGCUCGAGUGGGUUUGUUGCAGGGAAUGCAAGCUGCGCCUGCAGUAAGGAGGGGAGGUGAAGUCAGCACCGCUGUGGGCAGAACAAGAGGGAGACCUGCGAACUCACCUCCCUUUGUGUGUGAAGUGCCCCCCCGCUCAAUCAGUGUCCUACAGGCAGGAACUUUACGCCCGACAUGCUCUUCACUGCACCAAUGCAGAUUGCCAGGCCGGCCGUCUCACUUUGGCUGGCAGCCGUCAUCACUGCAUCGGUUGCAUUGGUGGCUUUUAACCCUGUAUUUCUGACCUACUGAUGGAGAGGGAUGUGUUUCUGGAUUUUCAGGUUAAUCCGAGAGACUGUUUGUGUGUGUGUGCGUGUGUGUGGGGGGGGGGGGGGUACUGGGUAGGAGCUGGAGAUUACAUUUCAUGUUGGAUCUGAUUGGAAAUCACUCUCCAUAUCACCAAGGCCACACCAGCAGCCAUAUCAGUGAUGUGCUAACACACUUAUUCACCUCUGUAUGUUCCAUGCCGUCUCAAAGGACAAUGUCAGUGUGAAGUCUGUGCAGCCAGAGCCAGGUGACAACGGCUUAACUCCUCUUCAUCUUCCGGAUUUAUGAGGGACAGGCGCCUGGUUAAUGCACGCUAAACCACUUGGCCUCCACCUAUUGCCAGUAUCGUAUGUCAGAAGUAUUUUACAGCCUCCCGUCUCUGUGCUAAUCUAUUGUUAAACAGAAUUUAGAGCUUUGCAAUCAAAUCCGGGCUGUUCAGAAUCUACUACAAAUAAACUGCUAUCUUCAGAUGGUAUGAUGGUAUUAGUUGUUGGCCAUAGACAAAUUCAGGUUGAGAUGGCGUCGUGCUCUGAAUGGAGCUGACCUGAGUUGAAUGGAUUUGAGUGGUGGGCUGUUGGGCCUUUGUGCCGGCUGACUCAGUUGGCGUAGUGCCUCUGAGUGAUUCCCCUCUCGGCACGGGUGGAUGGCUGCGUGGCAAAGAAGGGGGCCAGUGUUUGUGUUCCCAGCAGUCAUUGUGCUCCGGCAGUGCCCUCCUGACAAACUGCCUCUUUCUCAGGCAUGGGUGAGGCACAGUGAGCCCUGUCUCACCGCCCGCCAUUUUCCCCAUGGGAACGGGAAUCUUGGCGCCAUUGUGGAUGCGCGAUCUCACGUGAGCUGCCAAAUCUCAACCCCUGCACACACGGAAACAGAAAUAGCAUUCAUUUUGGUGCUUGGAGUCCAUGGAGUGGCAUCCUUGCAUCCUAAUCCAAGCACAUUAAAAAGUCAAAUGUGAAAUGGGGAAAAAUAAUUAGUUCUUAUAACCAGAAACAGCUAAUGCCAGUUACAUCUGGGGAAACUUAAGGUAUAUUUUUUUGUGGCAGCUACUUACUGUUUUCCACAUUAGGAAUCUUGUGACUCUGCGUGUUUUCGGAAGUGGCAUGAAUGGGGAUGAUGAUUACUGUUGUGUUUCAGUCACACGGUUUGCAGUUUUUCUGGCUGAGCCUUGUGCACAUUCCCCCUUUAAGGUCUUGGCUCAUGUGUUAAACAGCUGGAUCUCCGAUUUGGAACUUUUUCCAGUGUCUGCUCUAAGAAUGUACUGGUGUCAUAUACAUGAAAUGAGACGUUGCAGUUUAAAAAAAUCUGACAGUCAGACCUCUACUAUGUAAAUAUAGAAAGUAAUGUGUUAGCGGCUACAGCCCCCCUGUCCUGCUGCUGCACACUCCAGUACUCAGGUGUGCUUCAAAACACCUGUUCCAGUGUAACGCUCUCCAGUAAUGCAGUGGAUGGCCCCAACACACUUGAGAUCCCCUUACUGGAUUAUGCUCAUUACAGAGCGACGUUUUCAAAUGUCCCUGGACGCUGAUAUGGGCUCGUGAGUCUCACCCGGUUGGUGUUCAGGGUUCAGUAAGUUUCAGUAGGUGCUGCGGGGAUGGAUGUGCUGGACUCGGCUGGUAGGACCCUCCCUCUGCACAUUUUCAGUUGGGGAUUUUUUUUUUGCCACUAAAAUUACGUCUCACUUUUCAGCUUCUUCUCUCUGGGUUCAUUAAGGAAUGAAGACUUGCUAAAUAAAGGAAUGUGUUUGCAUCCUCCAGUCAUCCCGGAUAGGGGGCAGAGGGACUGGAGUGUAUCUUGAGCGGCGCAGGGCACAAGCGAGGAGGUACACAACGGAUGCUAAUUUAACACAGGGCUCACAGCAAGAAUGCUACAUAUGAAAACGUACCCAAAGUACGAAAAGAUAAUGCUUAAAUCUAUCAAGCUGCAGGGUUCCAGUGGCUAAAUCUUUUUAAAAAUAUAUAAAUAAAGCGGCAAACCUCAUGCCCAUUAGCGGUUGGGCAGCCCCAUCUAGUGGCCAACAUCAACGCUGCUCCGAUGUAUAAUUCGUAGCCGCAAUUUAAUGAAUAUCGUUUGCGUGUGAUUUUUUUUUUUUGCGCUUUGAAACGCAAAUCCGCGUGACAUUAACUACCUUCGAUAAUUUAUUUACAAUGUGGUAAGAAAUAAAAAUUCUAUUUGAUUUUAAAGUGGCCUGAACCUUAUCUUCUCAAUACCGUUAUCAAUCUCAUGUUUGUGUUUUUUUAUUUUUAAGUUUGUUUAAAACUUCAGCUUGUCAUUCUAUACAGGCCUACGUGUGUAAGAAGAAGUUUAGGCUACGUUUAAACACAUAUUUCAACCAUCCUCAGCAUUCCAAUACAGAAUUAAUGAGAAUAUGAAAUACACAUUUUUUAGCCAUAAACCGAAACCAAUCUGUCCAGUAUUCCACCGGGUUGGGAGCUGAAUAAUGAGAUUGCUGACAUGGGCAAAACAGUGUGGACUCCAAAGACCUUCCACCACCCAGCUCUGAUUUGCAGCUCCAGCCCCCUCCCCCUCACCAGAAAGUUCAGGCAAAAUAAAGCACUACCCCAUCUUCCUCU